GUUUCGGCUAUCGCUUACAGAUGGGCCCGCGGUGCAUUAGCUAGUUGGUAGGGUAAUGGCCUACCAAGGCAACGAUGCAUAGCCGACCUGAGAGGGUGAUCGGCCACACUGGGACUGAGACACGGCCCAGACUCCUACGGGAGGCAGCAGUAGGGAAUCUUCCGCAAUGGACGAAAGUCUGACGGAGCAACGCCGCGUGUAUGAAGAAGGUUUUCGGAUCGUAAAGUACUGUUGUUAGAGAAGAACAAGGAUAAGAGUAACUGCUUGUCCCUUGACGGUAUCUAACCAGAAAGCCACGGCUAACUACGUGCCAGCAGCCGCGGUAAUACGUAGGUGGCAAGCGUUGUCCGGAUUUAUUGGGCGUAAAGCGCGCGCAGGCGGUCUUUUAAGUCUGAUGUGAAAGCCCCCGGCUUAACCGGGGAGGGUCAUUGGAAACUGGAAGACUGGAGUGCAGAAGAGGAGAGUGGAAUUCCACGUGUAGCGGUGAAAUGCGUAGAUAUGUGGAGGAACAC
rnacentral:rRNA from 1 species